rnacentral:rRNA from 1 species
UACGUAGGGUGCAAGCGUUAUUCGGAAUUAUUGGGCGUAAAGGGCGCGUAGGCGGCUUUGCAAGUGACGGGUGAAAUCCCUCAGCUUAACUGGGGAACUGCGUCUGAGACUGGCGAGCUUGAGGGCAGGAGAGGAACGCGGAAUUCCAGGUGUAGCGGUGAAAUGCGUAGAUAUCUGGAGGAACACCAAUGGCGAAGGCAGCUCGCUGGAACGGUACUGACGCUGAGGCGCGAAAGCGUGGGGAGCGAACAGG